UCGACUAUUUAAAUUUGGCGCUUGCCUUUGGCGGUUAAGGACUCCAAUGUCAAUUAGCCAAAUACACUGACGUCAUCCGAGGUCAUCAAGAUGGCAGCGUUUGACAACUAGCCGGUUUUCUCAUAAGAGUCAAUGCUAAUAUUUUCGGAAUUCAUUUAAAUUUGAGAGUGUGUCGACUGUGUUUUUAUAGUUUGGAGAAAAUGCCUAAAUUUUGUGCUGUUGUGGGUUGCGCAAAUCGAAGCACCAGAAAUGCGGACAAAUUUUAUAUUCCUUUCGCAGCAAUUAGCAACAAUAAAGGUAAAUAUAUACAGGAUGGGGAAAAAGGCAGAAGCUUUGGUUAAAAGCCUUGAAACGAGUGGAUUUAACGAAGCCAAAGUAAAGUAUUCCUAUGUUUGUUCGGAUCAUUUUAUUUUAGGUAAACCUGCAGAUUUGUCGGAUGUGGACCAUCCUGAUUAUGUUCCAUCACAAAAUUUAGGAUAUCAAAAUAAAUCCACUCAUAAUACUUGU